rnacentral:rRNA from 1 species
GACGAACGCUGGCAGCGUGCUUAACACAUGCAAGUCGAACGGAAAGGCCUCUUUCGGGGGGUACUCGAGUGGCGAACGGGUGAGUAACACGUGAGUAACCUGCCCUUGACUUUGGGAUAACUUCAGGAAACUGGGGCUAAUACCGGAUAGGAGCUCCUGCUGCAUGGUGGGGGUUGGAAAGUUUCGGCGGUUGGGGAUGGACUCGCGGCUUAUCAGCUUGUUGGUGGGGUAGUGGCUUACCAAGGCUUUGACGGGUAGCCGGCCUGAGAGGGUGACCGGCCACAUUGGGACUGAGAUACGGCCCAGACUCCUACGGGAGGCAGCAGUGGGGAAUAUUGCACAAUGGGUGGAAGCCUGAUGCAGCAACGCCGUGUGCGGGAGGACGGCCUUCGGGUUGUAAACCGCUUUCGCUCAUGACGAAGCUUUGUGUGACGGUAGUGGGUAAAGAAGCACCGGCUAACUACGUG